AAUUUUAGCUUUACUUUGUAUCCCUGGUAUUCUGCAAAGAUAAUAAAGUGACAAAGACUAGCUGGGUUUAUGUUCAUAAUAAAUAGAUGAACAAUUCCACACCUAUCUUGGUAUAUUUUUGUAUACUUCUUGUGAUGGAAGAAGAAGAAAGCUAACAGGUGGCAGAAUUAGCCUUUUACAUUCAAGUGCAAAAUUGCACUUCCAAUUUUACAGAAAGCUAUUGAGAGUUGUACUUGCACACAGGGUUAGCUUCUGCCCCCAACCUUGUAAAGCAACACCAGAAGUCACCAAGCUAUCAAUGUUCAAUAACUAGUGUUCUCUAGGAGUCCUCCAGGUCAGAAGUGACGUCACAAUUGGUUUAGCUCUCCUUGACAUUGUACAUGCCCGUGCUUAUAGAGAUGCUUUUGAGUAGAAAGUACUAGAGCACGCAGUAAAUUCUAAAAUUUUCCAACAAACAUAGGUUUAUUUUCUGUGUGCUGCUUGUACAGCUGAGACCUAUAACAGUGGACAGUAAAGGGUGUACGAUGCAGCUCCUGUACAUGUAUGGAACACUAAGAGGCAUGGAAGGACAUGGAGGGGCAGCAAUCCUCAGCAGUCCUACUCAGCAAAGCAAGUUUUCCCAGGCCUGUCUUCAAGCUGAUGAAGCACAGAACAUUUGGCAAUAGAAAUGCUGAAUGAUAAGGACCUCAACACUGAAAAUUUGACUGAAAGCACUGGCAUUAGCAAAAUAGAAAUUCACUUUUCUAUGUCUUAUUUUUUACUGUAUGGCAGCAGACAAAAUUAUGUGUGGUUAAAUAAACAUUCUGUUUUAAAUGAUAAUAAAUCAU